rnacentral:rRNA from 1 species
UACAGAGGGGGCAAGCGUUGUUCGGAAUUACUGGGCGUAAAGCGUGCGUAGGCGGUUCUCCAAGUCCGUUGUGAAAGCCCCGGGCUCAACCUGGGAAUGGCAGUGGAAACUAGGGGACUGGAAUCUGGCAGAGGGGGGUGGAAUGCCGCGUGUAGCAGUGAAAUGCGUAGAGAUGCGGCGGAACACCGAUGGCGAAGGCAGCCCCCUGGGCUGAGAUUGACGCUCAGGCACGAAAGCGUGGGGAGCAAACAGG